rnacentral:rRNA from 1 species
AGUGAACGCUGGCGGUAGGCCUAACACAUGCAAGUCGAACGGCAGCACAGGAGAGCUUGCCCUCUGGGUGGCGAGUGGCGGACGGGUGAGGAAUACAUCGGAAUCUACUUUUUCGUGGGGGAUAACGUAGGGAAACUUACGCUAAUACCGCAUACGACCUACGGGUGAAAGCAGGGGACCUUCGGGCCUUGCGCGAUUGAAUGAGCCGAUGUCGGAUUAGCUAGUUGGCGGGGUAAAGGCCCACCAAGGCGACGAUCCGUAGCUGGUCUGAGAGGAUGAUCAGCCACACUGGAACUGAGACACGGUCCAGACUCCUACGGGAGGCAGCAGUGGGGAAUAUUGGACAAUGGGCGCAAGCCUGAUCCAGCCAUACCGCGUGGGUGAAGAAGGCCUUCGGGUUGUAAAGCCCUUUUGUUGGGAAAGAAAAAACUUUGGUUAACACCCAAAGUCUUGACGGUACCAGGAGAAUAAGCACCGGCUAACUCUGUGCCAGCAGCCGCGGUAA